rnacentral:rRNA from 1 species
AUUGAACGCUGGCGGCAGGCCUAACACAUGCAAGUCGAACGAGUGGCGGACGGGUGAGUCAUGUAUGGGAAACUGCCCGAUGGAGGGGGAUAACUACUGGAAACGGUAGCUAAUACCGCAUACCAUCGGAUGUGCCCAGAUGGGAUUAGCUAGUAGGUGGGGUAACGGCUCACCUAGGCGACGCUCCCUAGCUGGUCUGAGAGGAUGACCAGCCACACUGGGACUGAGACACGGUCCAGACUCCUACGGGAGGCAGCAGUGGGGAAUAUUGCACAAUGGGCGCAAGCCUGAUGCAGCCAUGCCGCGUGUAUGAAGAAGGCCUUCGGGUUGUAAAGUACUUUCGGCGGGGAGGCGUUACCCGCAGAAGAAGCACCGGCUAACUCCGUGCCAGCAGCCGCGGUAAUAC